GGGACGAAGCGACGCCGCGUGUGGGAAGAAGGCCUUCGGUGUAAACCACUGUCAGGAGUUAAGAAAUGCAAGGGUGUAAAUAGCAUCCUUGCUUGACUAAGGCUCCAGAGGAGGCCACGGCUAACUCUGUGCCAGCAGCCGCGGUAAUACAGAGGUGGCAAGCGUUGUUCGGAAUUAUUGGGCGUAAAGAGCACGUAGGCGGCUCUGCAAGUCAGCCGUGGAAGCCUUCUGCUUAACGGAAGAACAGCAGUUGAUACUACAGAGCUUGAGUGCGGGAGGGGGGAGUGGAACUUCUGGUGGAGCGGUGAAAUGCGUAGAUAUCAGAAGGAACGCCGGCGGCGAAAGCGACUCUCUGGCCCGUAACUAACGCUGAGUGUGCGAAAGCUAGGGGAGCAAACGGGAUUAGAUACCCCGGUAGUCCUAGCCGUAAACGAU
rnacentral:rRNA from 1 species